UACGGAGGGAGCUAGCGUUGUUCGGAAUUACUGGGCGUAAAGCGCGCGUAGGCGGCUUUGUAAGUUAGAGGUGAAAGCCCGGGGCUCAACUCCGGAACUGCCUUUAAGACUGCAUCGCUUGAAUCCAGGAGAGGUGAGUGGAAUUCCGAGUGUAGAGGUGAAAUUCGUAGAUAUUCGGAAGAACACCAGUGGCGAAGGCGGCUCACUGGACUGGU
rnacentral:rRNA from 1 species